rnacentral:rRNA from 1 species
UAACACCAGCGCCACAAGUGGCAACCGAUUUUAUUGGGCCUAAAGCGUCCGUAGCCGGUCCAGUAAAUUUCCUGUGAAAUCGUUGGGCCUAACUUAACGACGUGCAGGAAAGACUACUGGACUUGGGACCGGGAGGCGUCAGAGGUAUUCCUGAGGGAGCGGUAAAAUGCUAUAAUCUCAGGAGGACCCCCUGUGGCGAAGGCGUCUGACGAGAACGGAUUCGACGGUGAGGGACGAAAGCCAGGGGAGCGAACCGGAUUAGAUACCCGAGUAGUCCUGGCUGUAAACGCUACGAGCUAGGUGUUGCAUAUUCUUCGGGAAUGUGCAGUGUCGGAGCGAAGGUGUUAAGCUCGCCGCCUGGGAAGUAUGGUUGCAAGACUG